rnacentral:rRNA from 1 species
GAUGAACGCUGGCGGCGUGCUUAACACAUGCAAGUCGAACGGUGAAGGCGGAGCUUGCUCUGCUGGAUCAGUGGCGAACGGGUGAGUAACACGUGAGCAAUCUGCCCCUGACUCUGGGAUAAGCGCUGGAAACGGCGUCUAAUACUGGAUACGAGCUGCUAAGGCAUCUUCAGCAGCUGGAAAGAACUUCGGUCAGGGAUGAGCUCGCGGCCUAUCAGCUUGUUGGUGAGGUAACGGCUCACCAAGGCGUCGACGGGUAGCCGGCCUGAGAGGGUGACCGGCCACAAUGGGACUGAGACAGGGCCCAGACUCCUACGGGAGGCAGCAGUGGGGAAUAUUGCAGAAUGGGCGAAAGCCUGAGGCGGAAACGCCGCGUGAGGGAAGACGGCCUUCGGGUUGUAAACCUCUUUUAGCAGGGAAGAAGCGAAAGUGACGGUACCUGAAGAAAAAGCGCCGGCUAACUACGUG